CAUGAGUGCUGAUGCUACUCACAAAGCUAUCAACUGUAGAUCUUGAAGUAACACAGCAGCCAAUAAACCUUAAACUGAUGCAGCAUCCACUCUCCUUCACUGCAUCUUCACCAUCAUCUAUUUUCUUCUUCCUCCCCUUGGAUUUCAACCACCAAGCAAUCUGACAAAAUCAAUUCAAACACUAAAAUUUAGCAAAAAGUCGAAAGACUACAUCUCUAUCACCAAAUAGAAUGCAGAAUCAAGAGAUAGAUGACUGUAACAAUAAAAAAUAAGACAAAAAUUGUUAGAAAUUUAAAUACACUGUUUAUGCAGAACAAGCAGAAGACUAACUACAGAAAGUUCUUAACCAGUGUCGGCAGCUCAGUGCAUAGAACAAGGCAUGAAGCAUAAUUAAUCAAUCCACCCCAAACGACUAAAAGUUCAAGUAGAAAAUAGAUCAAGUAGGACAUAGAAAAUAUAACAAGCCAAGUGGAGAAGGAAAAGUGACUAAAAGUUUAACUUCAUCCUAAUAAGAGAACAUAGUUCAAGUAGGACACAUCUAACCUGUGACUGCACUUUCUUUCUCAACUCAGCGAUUUCUCGGCGUGCUCCAGCGACAUUUCCGGCGAGCUUCAGCGCCUCGCGAAUCUCCCUGAUCCCGCUCUCAAUGGGGGCACAAGCUCCGACCACGAACCCGAGACUUGUUCCGGUUUUCUACAGAGAGAAACGUUUUCUACGGAAAUUAUCGAGAGCAAUAUAUCUGAAAGAAGAGAGAGCAAGAGCAAGGAAACUAACGGUUGGAAUCAAAGGCUUCGGGAGUUUCAACCACACUCAGAGCUCCGGCAACGAUGACGGCGAGGUGAGGCGACGAUAGCUCUGAAAAAUGAAAAUAUACAAAUCUUGAGAGAGAGAGAGAGAACCGCUCGAUCGGGAUGAAGUCGAGGGAGGGAGAGGCGAGCGGCGUAGAUCGACUCCGGCAGGGCGAGCGGCGGCAGCGGAAUUUAGGAAUUUAGGGCAAUUGAAUUUGGGGAAAUUAUGGGGAAGAGAUAGUAUUAUUUAGUAAUUAUUAAUAUUCUUG
rnacentral:lncRNA from 1 species